rnacentral:rRNA from 1 species
UCUACGGGUGGCAGCAGUGAGGAAUAUUGGUCAAUGGACGCAAGUCUGAACCAGCCAUGCCGCGUGCAGGAAGACGGCUCUAUGAGUUGUAAACUGCUUUUGUACGGGGGUAAACGCAGAUACGCGUAUCUUUCUGAACGUAUCUUACGAAUAAGGAUCGGCUAACUCCGUGCCAGCAGCCGCGGUAAUACGGAGGAGUCAAGCGUUAUCCGGAUUUAUUUGGUUUAAAGGGUGCGUAGGCGGUCGGGUAAGUUAGAGGUGAAAUCCCGAGGCUCAACUUCGGAAUUGCCUCUGAUACUGUUAGGCUAGAGAGUAGUUGCGGUAGGCGGAAUGUAUGGUGUAGCGGUGAAAUGCUUAGAGAUCAUACAGAACACCGAUUGCGAAGGCAGCCUACCAAGCUACGUCUGACGUUGAGGCACGAAAGCGUGGGGAGCAAACAGGAUUAGAUACCCGGGUAGUC